CGAAGUCAGACGCUUAACCGACCGAGCCACUCAGGUGCCCCCAGAACCCUGAUUCUAAAGUCCCGGUCACAGGUCAUGGGCCAGCCUAGACUCUGCACAAUCCACUCAGUUCUGGCCCUUGCGGAAAGGAGGCCCCGGGGCAAGAAGGCAGGCUGGCCAAGCAGCAGACCUCCCUGGGGCUCGGGCUCGAACGUUCGGAACAGAAGCCCCCACGGCAGCAGUGCCGGACAUCACCAUAGGCGGGCUGGGCAAGACCACAGAAGCAACCACCCUCACUUCUAGAACAUUUGGGUGCUGCCGGUUGAAGGCACGGGCCGUGGUGGGAAGGAGCGCAGGCUUCAGGAGCCCCCAGAUUCCCACUGGGGCCCCUUCUUCCUCCUGCUGCCACAAGGUCUUCCCUCCAGCGGAUGGCCUGUAGGCUGCUGGGGGCCACAAGGCUCGGAAAAAGUCAGCAUUAUGCUAACGCAAGGGACUAAACCUGUUAGAAAUCCAAAUUAUGUGGUAAAGCAGGUCUUUACAACACUUAGGGGAUGCGGGGAGCAUGAAAAGUGGAGGAGCCUCUCUCGACACACUUUGAUCAAGGUCUGGGAAGUUCUCGAGUAUCCUGGUGACUGUACAUGGGAAGGAUCUCUCUCUGUGUUCCCAGCACAAGAGGCCGAUGACUCACCCACUCUUGGCCAGUCAAGUGGAAGGUAGUGUUACAAUUUCACCUGUGACGUCUGUGGGGCUAAAGAAUCUGUUCAAGUCCUUUCUACCCAGGUGAGCUUUCAAGACUCGGUUUCCAAAGCACUGCCAGCAGGACUGGCUUUCCAGAAAAUGCCGCCACGGGGAGGCUGGGAGUGUUCUCAGAGGCCACGGGCAAAGCGGAGGAGGCCGGUUUUUCUGAUAAGCUUCUCCCUCUUGGCAGAUGGCACCACCAUUCAUACAGGCACUGAGGCCAAAAACCUAUGUGUCGUUCCUCAUUCCAUCCUCCUCCUGGCCUCUAUGGUAAGCAGCCUCCAAGAUGGCCCAGUGAUUCUUGCCUCCUGGUAUUCAUAGCCUGCAUGGUCCCCUCCCAUACUGAACCUGUGUAAUCAACAGGAUGUGGCAGAAGUGAUGGAGUAUGACUCCGAGGCUAGGUCAUGAGAGUCAGUGUGCCUUCCUCCCUGCUCUCUUGGAUCACUCUUGUGAAGGGCACUUGUGCAGACCUAUGAAGAGGCUCAUGUGGGGAGGAGCUGAGACCUCCUGCAGACAGCCAGCAUUAAUUUGCCAACCAUGUGAAUGAGCCCCCUUGGAAGUGGAGCCUCCAGCCCCAUUCAAGCCUUCGGAUGAUGGCAGCCCCAGCCGACAUCUUGUCUGCAAUCGCAUAAAAGACCCUGAGUGAGAACCACCCAGCUAAGUUGCUCCCAAAUUUCUGACCCACAAAAACCACGAGACAACAAAUGUUUGUUGUUCUAAACUGCUAAGUUUAGAGCAAUUUGUUACACAAGUACAGUUAACUAACACCGCCUUCUGCCUGCAACCAUCCAUCAAGUCCUAUGGAUUCUACUUCUAAAUGACGUAUUGACUCUGCCAUCUCCCUUCUCCUCCACGGCCACUGCCACGGGCCAAGCCACCAUCACAUCUCAUAGGAUGACUGCAGACUGGCCUCUCUGCCUCCAUCUGGUUUCUGCCUGACCCAUUGCAGCCUAUAGCAUUCUACAAAUGCAAACUACUUCCAGUCCCUCCAGUGGCUCCCCGUGGCCCAUGGGAUGAAACCUGAACUCUUUGCCAUGAGCCAUAAGGUCCUUCAGGCCAAAGCCCACUUGCCUCCCUUCCCUGGCCUCAUCUCCUGGUCCACUCUGCUCCAGCUGCACUGGGCUGUCUUUUGUUUCUCAUAUACAUCAGCUCUCCCCACUCGGAGCCUAUGUCCUGGCUGUUUAUUCAGCCUGAAACACUCUUCCCAUCGCCCUACCUUCACUUUCCAGCUGAGAAAUCACCUCCUCAGAGGGGUCUUCACUGAUCACCCUGUCUACUGAGCAUGAUUCCCCAUCAGUACUCCCCAUCGCUAUGUCUUGUGAAUUCCCUUUACAAACUAUAAUGGCCUGAAAUUAGUUUAUUCAUUUAUCUAUUAAUCCUGCUUAUUACCAUCCACUCCUCUCUAUCCCUUAGGCUACUUUUUUGGAAGCUGGCACCAUGACUGUACCCAGUGCCUGGCACCAAGCAAGUAUCCAAUAAAAUGUUGUUAAAUGAAUGAA